AGUGAACGCUGGCGGUAGGCCUAACACAUGCAAGUCGAACGGCAGCACAGUAAGAGCUUGCUCUUACGGGUGGCGAGUGGCGGACGGGUGAUGAAUACAUCGGAAUCUACUUUUUCGUGGGGGAUAACGUAGGGAAACUUACGCUAAUACCGCAUACGACCUACGGGUGAAAGCAGGGGAUCUUCGGACCUUGCGCGAUUGAAUGAGCCGAUGUCGGAUUAGCUAGUUGGCGGGGUAAAGGCCCACCAAGGCGACGAUCCGUAGCUGGUCUGAGAGGAUGAUCAGCCACACUGGAACUGAGACACGGUCCAGACUCCUACGGGAGGCAGCAGUGGGGAAUAUUGGACAAUGGGCGCAAGCCUGAUCCGGCCAUACCGCGUGGGUGAAGAAGGCCUUCGGGUUGUAAAGCCCUUUUGUUGGGAAAGAAAAGCAGCAGGUUAAUACCCCGCUGUUCUGACGGUACCCAAAGAAUAAGCACCGGCUAACUUCGUG
rnacentral:rRNA from 1 species